rnacentral:rRNA from 1 species
UACAGAGGUCUCAAGCGUUGUUCGGAUUCAUUGGGCGUAAAGGGUGCGUAGGUGGCGCUGUAAGUCGGGUGUGAAAUUUCGGAGCUUAACUCCGAAACUGCAUUCGAUACUGCGGUGCUUGAGGACUGGAGAGGAGACUGGAAUUCAUGGUGUAGCAGUGAAAUGCGUAGAGAUCAUGAGGAAGACCAGUGGCGAGGGCGGGUCUCUGGACAGUUCCUGACACUGAGGCACGAAGGCCAGGGGAGCAAACGGG